GGAUCAGACUCAAAUCUGGCAACUUGGAUAGUAUGUCGCAAGGGCCUCCACUGCUGCGCCACUGCGGAAGGCUGUCGCCGAUGCAGACCACCUCCCGCAAGGCCUGGCAGUGACAGCGUGAUUAGGCUGACAGAUUUGUAGCGGCAGGAAUACAUCUCAGCCACCGACAUGCCCUCCACCUCCAGGCUCCAACGUAGCCGAAUCUCUCCCUCUGCCACCACCGCUUCCUACCUCCGCCACCAAAACAACGUACGCAGCAGGAAAAAACGCGCGCGGGUGCCCAGAUUGGGGAAGAAAGGUGCACGCGAAAAUAUAAGGCAAGGGAGGAGCUCGAUGCGGGUCGCCAAUAUUUUGGGGUGAAGAAGAGGCGUCUGUUGGAUCAGAAAAAAAGGAUUUUUUCCUAAUAUCGAUUUUCAGGCGGAGGGGGCACAUUCCACCGAGGUUGGGGCUGUCAAAAUCAGGUGCCCUUCCAGAUCCCAGAGGAGAGAGAGGCCCCGGCGAGUCCGCCGCCCGUCCAGAUCCUGCCGAUCCAGUCACGGGUUCAUCGCCUUGCCGGCUUUGUCUACUGGAGCCGUCUUCUUCCUCGCCGGGAAAUCUCCUUCGCUGCCUCGCUUGCGUCCCUGGGCUUCUUGUUCCACACCAUCGCCUGGCUUCGUCCCCUGCAAAUUUUGAAACUGUCAGAAGCCUAGGUAAUGCAUGUGGUUUGGGGAUCUAUGAGCUGUCAGUGAGCUGGGAUUAGGGCUUGUUAAUCGGCCUUGUAAGGGAGAAUCACUCCUAUAAAUACCUGUACUUGGUGAUUGAGAAGGAAUAACAGAAAUAAUACAACCAAAUACCAAAA